GUUUAGUACUGUGAAAGGUAAAAGAAACAAUAUAAUCUUAAAUAAAUACAGAAAAAGUAUAUGUCUAAUAUUUGUUAAACUCACUAAUGCCUGAGCCAGCAGGAUGAUAAAAUUGAUUCAAAGAGUAUUUGAGGACCUGGAUAGUUAUAGGGAAAGGAGAAGGAAAGCCAGAAUAAGAUUGCUAUGUCAAACACAAAACAACAUAAUAAUCUAGUCAACACAGUCAUAUUUUCUACCAGGAAGAAUUCAUUUGUACCUCCACCAAAAAAAAAAAAAAAAAAAAAAUAUAUAUAUAUAUAUAAAACUUCAUAGAGCAAUCAGUAGGUAAUAUUUGAAUAAAUAAAACUCCAAUACCCUAGAUAAUUAAUCUUUGAGUGGUCCUGCAGAUGAUACAUCAAUAUAAUUUUGAAAGAACAUAUAAUCCUGCUUUGUCUAAUUCCUAAGUUUUGAAUGAGUUUUCCUAACACCAUUAAUAUUUAGAAUGAUGAUAUUAUAUGUCUGCCAGAGUCUAUAAAGAUUGUGUUUAUCACAGGAAACAGUCCUACAAUUCAUUAGUUGAGUUAUGUGUAGAAACCACUGAGCCACUAAUUUGUUUUUUUAAGAAAAGAAACCUAUAAAAUUGUUCUAAGGCAAAUGAAGUGAAGACAGCCUACUUUCUAGUAGGAAACAUCUCAUACAAGGAAUCCUCAACAUGAUUAACAGCUGACUUCUCAUUAGACACCAUGAAGGCCAGAAAACUGAGGAAUGAAUAUUCAAAAUGCUAGAAGAAAAAGAAUGACAGCUAAAAAUCCUAUAAACAGUAAAACUAUCCUUCCUAAUGAGACCUCAUUCCCAUACAUUCUUCUAGGUCUUUAGACAUAGUUCCUUUUAGUUCUUUGAACGUAUUUAGAUAGGUGACUUCAAAUCUUUGUCUCAUCAGUCCAAUAUCUGAGUUUUCUAAGGUACAUUUGUUAUUGAUGGCUUUUUUUCUUAUCAGGGUCAAAUUUCUUACUUCUCUGUGUGUGUCAUAAAUUUUUGUUGAAAAUUUGGCAAUCUAAACAAUAUAAUGUAGGAACUACGGAAAUUAGAAUCUCUACCUCCCCAGGGCUUGUUCUUAUUACUGUUUGCUGCUGUUUGGUGAUCUUUCUGACCUAAUUCCAUAAAGUCUGUCUUCUUUGUCAUUUUUGGCCACUGAUGUCUCUGAUCAUUUAGGUUAGCAGUCAGCUAAUAAUUAGGCAGAGACUUCCUCUACCGCCUAGAACCAAUGAAUCUCCUAAUUUUUGCCAAGGGGUCUAUGUGCAUGUUGGGUAUGCCUUUGUCAUGGAGCCAGGCAGUGGGAAACUCUGCUACAGCCAUUACUUCCAGCUUGUGCAGAACCUCAGGGGCAGCCAAGAAUGAGGACUUAGUGCCUUUUUGAGUUGUUCCUAAAAACUGUACACAGCCCUGGAUGUAUGGACAACUUUCUAGAUCACCAGGGAUAUAUUACAGCUUGCCAAAGCCCCUAUGAACAUAUUUCCCAAUUUUCUCCUCUUAAGCUUAGAGGUUAGUCUAAUGUUUGCUCCAACUGUUCUCCAUGACCCAGGCAACCACAAUGUUAACAAUUUCCUGUAUUGUUUUUUGCAAAUGCCCCAGAGAAAAGACCUUUCUUUUCACAGUAGUAAAUCUCUUGAAAAGUCCGGUGAGAUAAAGACAGUCUUGCAAGGGGGCUCUUCAAGAGAACCACUAAAUAGGUCAGCCAAUGACAGUUCUCUGGGAAUGGGACUUUGAAGGAGCUUCAACUGUGUUCUGCUGCUUCCAGUGGCUGCCAGACUGCUGGUUUUCACUGUGAUUAUGGGCCGUGAAUUUUCAAGGCUACCACUGAGCUGGGGAGUGAAGAUAAGAAUAGCACAAGUUAAAAUGCCACAAAACUAGCUGCUCUUACCCUGAUUCUGACCUUUUUCUUGAAUGAACUCUUAGUGACGUGCUGAAAUCCUUUAUUUAAUUUGCAAAGUUAUGCAAAAGUUGACUCUGAUCAUUUCUUUCCCCAACUUUCUCAUUGCUUUAUGGAGGAGAAAAUUUUCAGAAGUUCUUGCUUUGCUACCUUGCUGAUGUCAGCCGAGGAGAGAGCUUUUGAAGAGAAGAGCAAAAAGAGGGCUACUCACAACCUGGAUUGAUGUUGUCCAUUCCUCAAAAGUUUAAAUUAACUAUCCAUGUGGGAAUGGAACUCUGGCUGCCAUCUGGAAUUAUGAGGGAGAAGGGACAUGAGAAGGAAGUCCUUCAGAACUUCAGAGAAGGAAGUCCUUCAGAACAGAUUAUCGCUGAUAUCCUUGCCGGCGAAGAGGACGGUCACUACCUCACUGUUGGUGAACUUGUGAGAGAACAGCAUCUCUGACGUCCUGAGUAUUGGGGGAAUGCUUUAUGGGGAUUUGGGAAACAUAAAUAAAGAAAAGAGAAUUUCAAAGCCUGA